rnacentral:rRNA from 1 species
AGAGUUUGAUCAUGGCUCAGGACGAACGCUGGCGGCGUGCUUAACACAUGCAAGUCGAACGGAAAGGCCCUUCGGGGUACUCGAGUGGCGAACGGGUGAGUAACACGUGGGUGAUCUGCCCUGCACUUUGGGAUAAGCCUGGGAAACUGGGUCUAAUACCAAAUAUGACCGCGCACUUCCUGGUGUGUGGUGGAAAGCUUUUGCGGUGUGGGAUGGGCCCGCGGCCUAUCAGCUUGUUGGUGGGGUAAUGGCCUACCAAGGCGACGACGGGUAGCCGGCCUGAGAGGAUGGCCAGCCACAUUGGGACUGAGAUACGGCCCAGACUCCUACGGGAGGCAGCAGUGGGGAAUAUUGCGCAAUGGCCGCAAGGCUGACGCAGCGACGCCGCGUGGGGGAUGAAGCAUUUCGGUGUGUAAACCUCUUUCAGCACAGACGAAGCGCAAGUGACGGUAUGUGCAGAAGAAGGACCGGCCAACUACGUGCCAGCAGCCGCGGUAAUACGUAGGGUCCGAGCGUUGUCCGGAAUUACUGGGCGUAAAGAGCUCGUAGGUGGUUUGUCGCGUUGUUCGUGAAAACUCACAGCUUAACUGUGGGCGUGCGGGCGAUACGGGCAGACUUGAGUACUGCAGGGGAGACUGGAAUUCCUGGUGUAGCGGUGGAAUGCGCAGAUAUCAGGAGGAACACCGGUGGCGAAGGCGGGUCUCUGGGCAGUAACUGACGCUGAGGAGCGAAAGCGUGGGGAGCGAACAGGAUUAGAUACCCCGGUAGUCC